rnacentral:rRNA from 1 species
UACAGAGGUCCCAAGCGUUGUUCGGAUUCACUGGCGUAAAGGGUGCGUAGGUGGCCAGGUAAGUUUGGUGUGAAAGCUCGGAGCUUAACUCCGAAAAGUCAUUGAAUACUAUCUGGCUGGAGGGUCGGAGGGGAGACUGGAAUUCUCGGUGUAGCAGUGAAAUGCGUAGAUAUCGAGAGGAACACCAGUGGCGAAGGCGGCUCACUGGCCCGAUACUGACGCUGAGGCACGAAAGCGUGGGGAGCAAACAGG